GGUGACAUGUGCAGGCUCAUGUGACACGUGGGCUACAUGGCAACAUGGCUAAAGAGUCUCGGUUUCCCUACAUUGCCUACAGUGAGAGCGUAUAACACUGGGCUGAAAAUCCUUUCUCUACUGCAUCAUAUUCAAGGUGAAGACCAUGGACAUGACUCCCUGGAGAGACACCUGUUGACACAGGUGUCAUCUAGAUUCUGGACGUGAGAGGAAGUACGUACCCUUGCCUCUCAGAGCCAGGCCGAGUCUCCUCAACAUGAAGUUCUUUGCCUCAUUCACUUCCUGAAAACGAUAGAAUUUCAAUCUUCUCUGUGGCGCAAUAAAACCCGCUAUGUGUACAUCUGCUUCUUUAUCCAUUCAUCUACAGGUGGAUAUCUAGGCUGAUUCCAGAACAAGGCCAAUAUUGUUUCAAUUUAAUAGCAACUUGUCGCCCCCUCCAAGGCUCAGGGAACAC